rnacentral:rRNA from 1 species
GCUGGCGGCAGGCCUAACACAUGCAAGUCGAGCGAGAAAGGCCUUCGGGCUGAGUACAGCGGCGGACGGGUGAGUAACGCGUAGGAAUCUACCUGGUAGUGGGGACAACAUGGGGAAAUUCAUGCUAAUACCGCAUACGCCCUAUGGGGGAAAGCGGGGGACCUUCGGGCCUCGCGCUAUCAGAAGAGCCUGCGUAGGAUUAGCUUGUUGGUGAGGUAAAGGCUCACCAAGGCGACGAUCCUUAGCUGGUCUGAGAGGAUGAUCAGCCACACUGGGACUGAGACACGGCCCAGACUCCUACGGGAGGCAGCAGUGGGGAAUAUUGCGCAAUGGGGGGAACCCUGACGCA